GACGAACGCUGGCGGCGUGCUUAACACAUGCAAGUCGAACGGCAAGGCCCUGCUUUUGUGGGGUGCUCGCGUGGCGCACGGGUGAGUAACACGUGAGUAACCUGCCCUUGCCUUUGGGAUAACUUCAGGAAACUGGGGCUAAUACCGGAUAGGAGCUCCUGCUGCAUGGUGGGGGUUGGAAAGUUUCGGCGGUUGGGGAUGGACUCGCGGCUUAUCAGCUUGUUGGUGGGGUAGUGGCUUACCAAGGCUUUGUCGGGUAGCGGGCCUGGGCGGGUGACCGGCCACAGUAGGACAGAGGUACGGCCCAGCCUGGAACGGGGGGCAGCGGUGGGAAAUAUUGCACAAGGGUCGGAAGCCUAGCGCUGCGACGCCGCGUGCGGAAUGGCGGCCUUCGGGUUGUAAACCGCUUUCGCCUUGGACGAAGCGAGAGUGACGGUAAUGGGUAAAGAAGCACCGGCUAACUACGUG
rnacentral:rRNA from 1 species